AUUCCCGCAUGUUGGGGCACGGGGAAGGGGGUUCGCCUCUGACUUCGUUGUCUUGUGUGUGGGGGGCCAAAUUUUUGUACUUCGGAGGAACGCGUGUGCCUUUCAUUAGGUGUGCGUUUGGGAUUCCGAUAGUUUACUUUGAGAAAAUCAGAGUGUUCAAAGCAGGCGAUUUUGCCACUUGAAUACGUUAGCAUGGGAUAAUGAAAUAGGACAUUGGUUCUCUAUUUCUGAUGGUUUGAAGGACCGAUGUAAUGGUUAAUAGGGACAGUUGGGGACAUUCAUAUUCCAUGGCUAGAGGUGAAAUUCUUGGAUUCAUGGAAGAUGAACUACUGCGAAAGCAUUUGUCAAAGAUGUUUUCAUUGAUCAAGAACGAAAGUUAGGGGAGCAAAGACGAUCAGAUACCGUCGUAGUCUUAACCAUAAACGAUGCCGACUAGGGAUCGGUGGGAGUUAGUUUUGAUGACUCCAUCGGCACCUCAUGGGAAACCAAAGUCUUUGGGUUCCGGGGGGAGUAUGGUCCAAGGCUGAAACUUAAAGGAAUUGACGGAAGGGCACCACCAGGAGUGGAGCCUGCGGCUUAAUUUGACCCAACACGGGGAAACUCACCAGGUCCAGACAUGGUAAGGAUUGACAGAUUGAGAGCUCUUUCUUGAUUCCAUGAAAGGUGGCGCAUGGCCGUUCUUAGUUGGUGGAGUGAUUUGUCUGGUUAAUUCCGAUAACGAACGAGACCUUAACCUGCUAACUAGUCCAAGCAUACUUUCGGGUAUGGUACUUGCUGACUUCUUAGAGGGACAAGCUGUAUCUAGCAGCUGGAAGCUUGAGGCAAUAACAGGUCUGUGAUGCCCUUAGAUGUCCUGGGCUGCACGCGCGCUACACUGACGAACUCAACGAGUUUAUAACCUUGGCAGAGAUGUCUGGGUAAUCUUCUAAAAGUUCGUCGUGAUGGGGAUAGAUGAUUGUAAUUAUUCGCCUUGAACGAGGAAUUCCUAGUAAGUGUGAGUCAUCAGCUCGCGCUGAUUACGUCCCUGCCCUUUGUACACACCGCCCGUCGCUCCUACCGAUUGAAUGGUCCGGUGAGAACGUCGGAUCACGCGUUUGAUGCCAGUUCGCUGGUGACUUUUGCGAGAAAAGUAGUUCAAACCUUACCAUUUAGAGGAAGGAGAAGUCGUAACAAGGU
rnacentral:rRNA from 1 species